rnacentral:rRNA from 1 species
UACGAAGGGGGCUAGCGUUGCUCGGAAUUACUGGGCGUAAAGGGCGCGUAGGCGGAUACUUAAGUCGGGGGUGAAAGCCCAGGGCUCAACCCUGGAAUAGCCUUCGAUACUGGGUAUCUUGAGUUCGGGAGAGGUGAGUGGAACUCCGAGUGUAGAGGUGAAAUUCGUAGAUAUUCGGAAGAACACCAGUAGCGAAGGCGACUCACUGGCCCGAUACUGACGCUGAGGCGCGAAAGCGUGGGGAGCAAACAGG